rnacentral:rRNA from 1 species
UACGUAGGGUCCGAGCGUUGUCCGGAAUUACUGGGCGUAAAGAGCUCGUAGGUGGUUUGUCGCGUUGUUCGUGAAAACUCACAGCUCAACUGUGGGCGUGCGGGCGAUACGGGCAGACUUGAGUACUGCAGGGGAGACUGGAAUUCCUGGUGUAGCGGUGGAAUGCGCAGAUAUCAGGAGGAACACCGGUGGCGAAGGCGGUUCUCUGGGCAUGUCCUGACGCUGAGGAGCGAAAGUGUGGGGAGCGAACAGG